AAACCAUGAUGAGGGCAUCUCUAUACGAGCAAUUUAAAAUGCUUCCAAGAUUCGUAAAAGUUUUAUCCUUCUAUCUGUUUAAAGUCGGUAGUGUCUCUUCUCAGUUG
rfam:Gossypium hirsutum cultivar TM-1 chromosome 16, whole genome shotgun sequence